UUAGGAUCUGAGCCUCUCAAAAGAUUGGAUCCAUGAAAGAGGCAUGCAUAGUUUCCUAUAAAGAGCCUGCGUUACCCUAUUAGGGUUCUGUCCUGCGAUCCAUCAACAUGGCUAUUGUGAAAUGAGGCGGCGGCGGCGUAUCGAAUCUGAUACUUCAGCCUUGUACAGAAAAAGGUAUUGUGCUAGACAUAAAAAUCAUUCUUUUGGAAAGGUGUAUUUAUGACUUUGGCCUUAAAGCCUGGAUUUUAUCCAAGAUUGUAGAGUGCUCUAUGGCCAGUUCUUGAGGUUAGUCAUGUGAUUGCUGGCUGUUAAUCAUAUCUUUCAGUUGAGUAUUCCUUUUUAAUUACAGCCUUUUUUUAGUUUGUUCUGGUAUGCAUUUUUUUUAUGACUAGAAAUUCUUCAAGAGAUUUAAGGCUUUCAUAGUUCAUAACCAAGAAGUAGAUUUCAUGUCAUUUGUUUGUUUAUAUGACGAGAAAAUCCUUAAGAGGUAAGGCUUCCAUAGUUCAUAACCAAGUAAUAGAUUUCUUGGAAUGACAUGAUAAAUUAAAGUUCACUGACAUGAUAUAUUUAAGGAUCACAGACAUUAUAUGCUAGAUAUAACUAUUGGAAUCUGAUAAUUUUUAGAUUAGACGGGAAUUUGCUAAUAGGUUUCUGUAAAUACAUUGGCGGUUUCAUGUCCUUAUAUGAGUUUUAUUGUUGUAAUUAUUUGAUUAUAAUAAACAUGGAUGAUAAGCACUCCUGCCACGCUACAGUUUAUUUUGUAUGGGGCCAACCUUUAGUGAUGAUACCAUGUAUGAGGUAACCUUUGGUCUAUUGGCCACAAUUUUUAUCCACCAAUAUCUGCUGGAGUAUUUCACUCCCAUAAGAUGUUCUCUUUUUAGGCCUCAAUGCUUUUAUCAUUAGAUCAUGCCAUUUUUUGAGCUCAUCCAAAUUGACAUUUCUAACGAUUCCUUAAAGCUUUACCUCAGUUUUGUCUUUUUCCUAUCCUAGGCAGUCUGCAUGAGAUAUUUACCAUGUGACUCUCCAAAAAUGCCAUUAUCCUUAAAUUUAUUUGGAGGCUUACUUAUCUUGCACCUUUAUCCCUCUGCAAAUAGAGUUCCAUUUGGAGGCUUCCUUCUCGCACCUUUUUCCUCUGCAAAUAUAGGCUUUGAUGCCCAGUACUAAUUUGUCCCUCUAUAUCACCAUCCUUCAGCAGAAUCUUAAGGCUAACUCUGAUCGUCAAGACAUUUUGCUUAAUCAAUUUGACCAGUUUGCAGGAUACUGAUUCAAUUAGCAUUCCUGAUCUGCAUACUACUAAGAACAAUAGUGGAGCUUUUUCUUGAUCAGGUGGAUAAAUACUAUGGUGGCCAUUGUGCCUCUUCCAUGCUUCUGGAGUAGAGGCUAUCUGCUGUGCAGGAUGAAGACUUUUCUUCUACGGCUGGUUUAAUCCUCUCACAUGAUGCAAUGGUGGAACUGGAACUUUGGUGCCUGCCACGACUUCUUGUUGUGCCUAUGUUUUCUCCGAAAAAGGCAGACUAUUGCUGUUGAUGGAGGCAGCUGUUGUGAUUAUGUUUACUCACUGUUUUCUUUAUGAUUAGCUGCUGUUGUUUCCAGCAGUCUUAUUAUCAUUUGAAGUUUUGUUUGCCCUUGUCCACAGCUUGUUUGCUGUUUGAUGGGGUGCUUUCUUUGCUGUUUUUAGGCCGACUCUGUGAUUUGUAAUUUUCCUUUCUUCAGUUAAUCACCGAUAAAACUACUUUUUCUAAAAAAAAAUAUGAAUAUCUAGAUGCGCUCUGGUAACUUUAUCAAACAAAAUCCAGCAAGUCACCACCUCUUCUGUUAUAUUUAUGUAAAUGGCCCUUGAUCAGAAAGACGCGUUUUUGUGUUUACUCCUGGACUUGGUAGUUCAGAAACUUGUGAGGGAUUAUAUGUUAAGGUUUAAUAGGAUGGGAUGGUCUCUAUCUUAA